GGCGGCAGUAGCGCGGUGGUCCCACCUGACCCCAUGCCGAACUCAGAAGUGAAACGCCGUAGCGCCGAUGGUAGUGUGGGGUCUCCCCAUGCGAGAGUAGGGAACUAUCUCCG
rnacentral:rRNA from 1 species